AUUGAACGCUGGCGGCAGGCCUAACACAUGCAAGUCGAGCGAGCGGCGGACGGGUGAGUAAUGUCUGGGAAACUGCCUGAUGGAGGGGGAUAACUACUGGAAACGGUAGCUAAUACCGCAUACCAUCAGAUGUGCCCAGAUGGGAUUAGCUAGUAGGUGGGGUAAUGGCUCACCUAGGCGACGAUCCCUAGCGGGUCUGAGAGGAUGACCAGCCAAACUGGAACUGAGACACGGGCCAGACGCCUACGGGAGGCAGCAGUGGGGAAUAUUGCACAAUGGGCGCAAGCCUGAUGCAGCCAUGCCGCGUGUAUGAAGAAGGCCUUCGGGUUGUAAAGCACUUUCAGCGAGGAGGCGUUACUCGCAGAAGAAGCACCGGCUAACUCCGUGCCAGCCGCCGCGGUAAUUC
rnacentral:rRNA from 1 species